UGGGGAAUAUUGCACAAUGGGCGGAAGCCUGAUGCAGCGACGCCGCGUGAGGGAUGACGGCCUUCGGGUUGUAAACCUCUUUCGCUAGGGAAGAAGCCCUUCGGGGUGACGGUACCUGGAUAAGAAGCACCGGCUAACUACGUGCCAGCAGCCGCGGUAAUACGUAGGGUGCGAGCGUUGUCCGGAAUUACUGGGCGUAAAGAGCUCGUAGGUGGUUUGUCGCGUCGUCUGUGAAAUUCCGGGGCUUAACUCCGGGCGUGCAGGCGAUACGGGCAAGCUGGAGUGCUGUAGGGGAGACUGGAAUUCCUGGUGUAGCGGUGGAAUGCGCAGAUAUCAGGAGGAACACCGAUGGCGAAGGCAGGUCUCUGGGCAGUUACUGACACUGAGGAGCGAAAGCAUGGGUAGCGAACAGGAUUAGAUACCCUGGUAGUCCAUGCCGUAAACGGUGGGCGCUAGGUGUGGGGAUUUUUCACGAUUUCCGUGCCGUAGCUAACGCAUUAAGCGCCCCGCCUGGGGAGUACCGNCGCAAGGCUA
rnacentral:rRNA from 1 species